rnacentral:misc_RNA from 1 species
GGUAAUUUGGUUUAGUUGUUAGUCAGGAGCAUGAUAUGUACCAUAAGGUAUCUACGGAAUUCUUCGUAUUUCUUUAAAGAUCUUUAAUUUUAUCCCUUUCUGAGAUUAGGGUGAUGCAUGAGCCUGAUAUUUUAUUCUUUUAUUUGUGUUCCUUCAAGCAUUAAAUUUUAUUGAAUAUUCCAUGCUUAUUGAAGAUUCGUGCUAGGUGCAUCUA